UAUACCCCCUACACUGCAACUUCCAUGUUCAUCCCUCUCUCAGCUCUCUGCUCCCCCCUCUCUCUCUCUCUCCUUCCCCUGGAUUCCAUCGACGAUUCUGCGGUGAUGGGUUGCCGGGCAACGUGGUGGCGGCAAGGAUCGGCGAGGUUCCGAAGUGUCACCUAUGUCCAUGCGUUCGGUGGGGUCCCAGUUCCGAUGGAUCUGGCGAGGUCGCCUGUUAGGGCGAGCAUGCCGAGAUCCCGGCAGGAAGUGGACCUUCUCUGUUCUCCCUGCGAGGAUGGAGGCAAUUAGGUCCCCUAGGGUGCUUUGGGGCACUGAGGUCCCCUAUUAGGGUUGGACGGUUGGUACCCUGGACGGCUGCAUCUUCGUCUGCACUGGGUCAACGGAACCAGUUUGCUCAUAGAUCGAAUAUCGGCUCUGUUCUUUGUUAGUUUGUGCACAUUUUAUUUAUGAUUGGUGUCUGGUUUUGCCAAGGAUAACAUCUUUUUUGUUGGUAAACUCCCCUGUUGCAGCAGCGAUAACACCUUCUCCUUAGCAUCUGCUUGUUGAGGUUAGUGUUAUUUAUGAAUUCAAAUGUUCCUGUAUUUCUGCAUCCUUAGGUUAUGAUAUUUGCAUUGAGCGCGAAAUGUUAGAAUAGAUGCAUCUUUGUCCAUGUUUCUUUCAGAUGCCAUUUUUUUCUGAACGUGUAGUACUAGUAGUUUGAAUUCAUUUCACCUAGAAAGUUUUGUGGCAUGCUAAAGAUGGUAUACCUUGACUUAGUAGUUACUAAAAUGUUCUUAUCAUGGGAAGACCAGGUACACCACAGUCCUCAUCAGAGCAUCGAGUCCCAUCUAAUGACCUGGCUAAAGCAGUUGAAAUGUUUCUUCAGUAUAACAUCUGCUAUUAUUAAUGAAUAUCUUUUUAGGAUGUAGCUUCGGGUAGGUUAAUUGUUAGUACAUUUUACGAAACAAAAUGUUACACUUAUACCUGAUAAUGCAGAGUCUAGGUUCUACACAAUAAUCCUGAACCAAUUUCAUUACAUAGUUAUAUAGCCUGAAAGCACAAUUUUCGCACAGAGGCUAGAUUUCAGGCCAUCUCUCCAUGUCUGUUUGUUUUUCUCUAUUUUCUAUUUUUUCACAUAUCUAGUUUUCAUGCGCAUUGCUUUAGGAGAUUCAAGUCCAGACCUGAGACCUCACUUCUAAGUUGUUUCAUUUGUGUAUUUUGUACCUAGUUGGCACCAUAUGUGCUAGGGCUUGUGAUCUGUAUAAUGGUUGAUGGAUGAUAGGAUUCCAUGUUUAGACAAGUUACUGAGCAUACAUGGUCAGCUCUUGUAGUACAAAAACUGAAGGUGUAAUUUUUAAGGCCUAAUGAUUCAAUGUGGUGUCUACCUAUAGAGCUCACCGUAUAGGUUAAGAAUUAGAACAAAUGAAAGAGCUGCUUUUCAACUGCGAUUGAUGAAGUCAACUCUGAACUCCCUGGGAAGCAGUACACCUGCGCUCUCUGUUUUCAUGGCCAUAUCUGAUAUCUCAAUCCCCAAUGUUCCAGAACUACUGGUAUAUGGGUUGCUAUCUUAAUGUUGUUUCCAUAUAGCAAAGAGUACCUCUGAUUAUGCUAAUGGUUGUAGACAUGGGAUUUUUUAUUUUGCCUCUUUUGAUAGUGUUCCAGAUACAUUUUAGAAUAUUUGUUAUUCAGUUAUAAAAUCAGGUAUAACUCAUACAGUGGAUAUUACAGUUCCUCAUUAUUUUGCCUAUUUUUGUUUAUCUAAAGCUAUGUAGCAUCAAUUUUUUAAUAAUAUGCAAACAAUUUGCAUGAAUUUGUUGUACUCUACUUAAAUGUGCUAUUUUGUUCCAGGUGUAUUCUCAAGAAUCGUUUAUCAUUUUUCUUGUGUUAAGUUCUAUACAGACUAGCUCUUUGCAUAACCUUAUGGUGUCUCCAACAGCUGACAUCGCAUAAGCCUAUAUAACCUUUUAUCAAAUUUGUCUUGUGUUCAAUUCCAUAUAGAUUCUCAAAAUUUGGGAAGAAGGAAUUUGACAUAUUUGCUGGAUUAAAAGUUUGCCAGCCAUAAUAUUAUAAAUAAAAAGAUGUUGUAUGUCCAGACUUGGAAUACAUGAGGAGAACCAAGUGCUAGUGGUUCAAGAGGUCAUGGCCAAGUACAUAACAUUUUGAUAGGCGUUACUGGGUCUAAAAAUUCCUUUUUUUUUUCAAGAUAAAACAUCUGAAAUGUUCAUAUCCAAAGGCAGAUGUAAAAUCCACCUAACCAUCUCCCUAUUUUUCUAGAUAAGGAUUGUCUUACAGAUUGUUCAAGCUGAGAACUGGUUAAGUAUAUUUUCUCUUGGGUUCUGCUUGAAAUGUUCCAAUCUUGUAUAGUGUAGUAUGACACUCUUGGCUUGGUAAUUAAAACUACUUAAAAGUACCGAUUGUUAAGUUACAUUUCAUGAUCUAUAGUGCAUAAUAAAAUGUUCAAAUCUUGACUGAAAUGUUCUGAGCAUGAUUUAGGUAAACUAAAAUGUGCCUUUUAUUUAGUUACCAUUUGUUCACUAUAUAGCACAAUGAAUUAUGAAAGUUUAGGUACUGGCCAAAAUGUCGGUCCAGAUCACGAAGUGUGCAAACCAGGGGACAUGGACGAGCACCUUUCAGUCCAUAUGCUUCUAAAAUGUGACAUGCUUUUGGUUUCACCACUUAUUGGUGAUAAGAACAUUUCAAUCCUUAUGGUUGCUCUAAAAUGUGCGAUAAUUUUAAUUUCUUCACUUAUUAGUGAUGAUAACCUUUCAGUCCUUAUGGUUUACUUACACAUUGCACUCAUUUGGUUUUAACAUAACUAAAAUGUUCGAAACAAAUGGUACUGAACUGCAGGAAAGAGUAAUAUUUGUGAUGAGCAUGUGGUUUCUAGAAACAACUUGAACAUGUUUUUUGUCAUAGCAUCCUAACACAAAGAGAUCAUGGGUGAUUUCUAGAAUGAUUGAUCUUAGCAUUUGGAAAGAAACACAUCAAAUGAACUAGUAGUUCAUAAUUAUAAACAUUUGGGUCCCCUAUGUUGGAAUGCCACAAUUCCAAAACCAUCUUGAUAGAAAGUUCUUAUUGGGCAGGUAUUACAAUUUAACAACUGCUGCUAGGAGAUAAAUGUUUCGCCACAUUCUAGAAGUCCUGGAUUCUUGAAUUGUUUCCAAUAGUACGCUUAGAGGUCCAAUGUUAAGUAAAUAAAACAUCUGAAAUGUUCAUAUCCAAAGGCAGAUGUAAAAUCCGCCUAACCAUCUCCCUAUUUUUCUAGAUAAGGAUUGUCUUACGGAUUGUUCAAGCUGAGAGCUGGUAAAGUAUAUUUUAUCUUGGGUUCUGCUUGAAAUGUUCCAAUCUCGUAUAGUGUAGUAUGGCACUCUUGGCUUGGUAAUUAAAACUACUAAAAAGUACCGAUUGUUAAGUUACAUUUCAUGAUCUAUAGUGCAUAAUAAAAUGUUCAAAUCUUGACUGAAAUGUUCUGAGCAUGAUUUAGGUAAACUAAAAUGUGCCUUUUAUUUAGUUACCAUUUGUUCACUACAUAGCAUAGUGAAUUUUGAAAAGUUUAGGUGCCGGUCCAGAUCACGAAGUGUGCAAACCAGGGGACAUGGACGAGCACCUUUCAGUCCUUAUGCUUGUUCUAAAAUUUGCCAUGCUUUUGGUUUCACGUUUUCACCUUUCACCACUAUUGGUGACAAGAACAUUUCAAUCCUUAUGGUGGUUCUAAAAUGUGCGAUAAUUUUAAUUUCUUCACUUAUUAGUGAUGAUAACCUUUCAGUCCUUAUGGUUUACUUACACAUUUUGCACCCAUUUGGUUUUAAAAAUAACUAAAAUGUUCCAAACAAAUGGUACUGAACUGUAGGGAAGAGUAAUAUUUGUGAUUAUGAUGUGGUUUCUAGAAACAACUUGAACAUAUUUUUCGUCAUGGCAUCCUAAUGCAAAGAGAUCAUGGGUGAUUUCUAGAAUGAUUGAUCUUAGCAUUUGAAAAGAAACACAUCAAAUGAACUAGUAGUUCAUAUAUAUAAUCAUUUCGGUCCCCUAUGUUGGAAUGCCACUGUUCCAAAACCAUCUUGAUAGAUAGUUCUUAAUGGACAGGUAUUACAAUUUAACAACUGCUGCUAGGAGAUAAAUGUUUCUCCACAUUCUGGAAUUCCUGGAUUCUUGAAUUGUUUCCAAGUGUACGCUUAGAGGUCCAAUGUUAAGUAAAUAAAACAUCUGAAAUGUUCAUAUCCAAAGGCAGAUGUAAAAUCCGCCUAACCAUCUCCCUAUUUUUCUAGAUAAGGAUUGUCUUACGGACUGUUCAAGCUGAAAACUGGUAAAGUAUAUUUUCUCUUGGGUUCCUUGAAAUGUUCCAAUCUUGUAUAGUGUAGCAUGGCACACUUGGCUUGGUAAUUAAAACUACUAAAAAGUGUCGGUUGUUAAAAUACAUUUCAUGAUCUAUAGUGCAUAAUAAAAUGUUCAAAUCUUGACUGAAAUGUUCUGAGCAUGAUUUAGGUAAACUAAAGUGUGCCUUUUAUUUAGUUACCAUUUGUUCACUACAUAGCAUAAUGAAUUUUGAAAAGUUUACGUGCCGGUCCAAAUCACGAAGUGUGCAAACCAGGGGACAUGGACCAGCACCUUAGGCCGUCUCCAGCGGUAUUGGCGAAAUCGCCAGGCGAGAUGAAGCUGUAAAACAAUAAAAAACUAAAAAGAUGCUCCUCCAGUUCUGGUUUUGCGUUCCCACUUUCUUAUUUCUGCGGCAAACGUGCUAUAGGCUAGCGGCGAGAUAAGAGCUAGUGCAGCAAUUUUCACGGCUUCUCUCUCCUCCAGCUCAACUUAAGCCAGCGAUAUCUCCCCUUGUUGGAGGAGGCCUUAUGAUUUACUUUUGGGACCCAAUAAUUACUCUUGGAUCACACUAAUCUCUAUCUGUGUGUUUUUGUUGAUACUAGGAAAUACCUUUGAUUAAGAACUUCUGUGGCAUCAAGUUCGCAGCAGCUAAUACAAGAAAUUAUAUCUUUUACAGCUCCAACACUGGAUUAUUUGCUGUGCACUAGUGGCAUUAUUUUGAUGGAAAUGCCCUAGUCAUACCAGUUAACAUGCUAACCAGACACUCCAACCUUACAUUGUGACAAUCUUCUUUUAUCCUUUGCAGUAAGAACGUUUUCCCUUGUAGGGAGGCUUGAUGGAGCCAAGGUCGCUGCUACUAGAAUACAUUCUAAUUAUGUUAGGCAACAAAUAUAUAUUUUGGUGUUAAUGAGCUGAUAUAUUCCAACUGCUGACAAAGACAAUAUGCAAGACAUGAUGGACCAGGAUCAGUACCUAAUCUAAAGUUAGCAUUAGGCAUCCUAAUAAGAGUGUAUCGUGAUGACAGCCUUGGACCAUUUUUUCAAUGUAUUAAACUAAUGCACAUGGAAUUGUGCACUAUACUAAUUUUUACAUGUUCUUUUGCUGCUUGAUGUACUAAUGGGUAUACCUGUACUUGAUGCUUGAUGGUCUGGCUUGGUUUCGAA